CCUACGGGAGGCAGCAGUGAGGAAUAUUGGUCAAUGGCCGUAAGGCUGAACCAGCCAAGUCGCGUGAAGGAAGACGGAUCUAUGGUUUGUAAACUUCUUUUAUAGGGGAAUAAAGGUAUCCACGUGUGGAUAUUUGCAUGUACCCUAUGAAUAAGCAUCGGCUAACUCCGUGCCAGCAGCCGCGGUAAUACGGAGGAUGCGAGCGUUAUCCGGAUUUAUUGGGUUUAAAGGGUGCGUAGGCUGUUAUUGAAGUCAGCGGUGAAAGUUUGUGGCUCAACCAUUAAAUUGCCGUUGAAACUGGAAGACUUGAGUGUGUUUGAGGUAGGCGGAAUGCGUGGUGUAGCGGUGAAAUGCAUAGAUAUCACGCAGAACUCCGAUUGCGAAGGCAGCUUACUGGGCCAUAACUGACGCUGAUGCACGAAAGCGUGGGGAUCGAACAGGAUUAGAUACCCGAGUAGUC
rnacentral:rRNA from 1 species